AACGUAGGAGACAAACGUUAUCCGGAGUUACUGGGCGUAAAGGGCGUGUAGGUGGUUUCGUAAGUCUGGCGUGAAAUUUUUCGGCUUAACCGGGAAAGGUCGUCGGAUACUGCAGAACUAGAGGACGGUAGAGGCGUGUGGAAUUCCGGGUGUAGUGGUGAAAUGCGUAGAGAUCCGGAGGAACACCAGUGGCGAAGGCGGCUCACUGGCCCGAUACUGACGCUGAGGCACGAAAGCGUGGGGAGCAAACAGG
rnacentral:rRNA from 1 species